rnacentral:sRNA from 1 species
GGUACAGCCCUUGGGACUGAAAUUGUUUGUUUAUCUUGGAACACGUAUAACAUGGGCAGCAGCAAUACAGACUUCCCCAUACUGGCUCAUCAGGGUUCCUCAACCUUGACCUGGAGAGACUACCUGUCGGGAUGAAAAUUUACUUCUAUUUCCAUACCCAUUCAAACUGUGCUCUC